AACUUCUGUUUGAAUUCUUACAUAUUUAUAAUGUGUACCGCUGAUAGAUUUUCUGGUGCUGAAAACGGCAGAUUCACGAACUCACGAACACAAAAGUAUGUUUAGUACAUGGACGAAGCAAUUUCCAAGGCCAAGUUUGGACUUUUCAACUAUGUUUUGAUUGGCGUUACUGUUUUAACUAUGUUUGCACCUUUAGUAGAGACCAAUGACAGGAUGUGAAGACUUCAAGUCUCAUUGAGCCGACGGUGGCGCCACCAAUUUCAAAGGGGACGUCAAUGUAAUUUAACAACUCAAAUCGAAACUAAACAGCGCGCCAAUUUUGAAAUUUGCUGUCAUUUCCUCCCAUUGGUAAAGACAAGUAGCAUGGCUUCCUUGCUUCUGGUUUUGUGUGACAUGCAUUUGACAUUGAGUCAAAAAGGUGCUUUAGGUUUUUGUAAAUAAAUUGUAGAUGUAGAAAUUUUGUAAAUAAAUAAAAUGGACUACAACGGAGCAUCACGUGAAUUUAUA